AGGAAGUCAGCUAGUAUUUCCCAUGUCUGUGGAAUACCUUUGCAAAAGUCAUCAUUCAGCUCUUGAUGAGUGAAAGUAGCUCAGAAUCUUCAUCCAAGAAAAAAAAGUGCUGCUGUUGCUUAGUUUAAUCUUAUCUCUUGAAUGAAUUUUCAAAUGCCUGCGGCGCAUCAGUUGCAGCAGGCAUUUGAAAGUCCAUUCAAGAGAUUCAUGGUGACACUGGCUGGGGAUGCUCACUGGGAUACAAGACAGGACAUGCUACGACUGAUGGAGGGCUGAGCAAGAAGGUCUUCACUGCCAACACUUCCUGUGUUCUACUGUUCCUGUCCUUAACAAAUUGGAUCAUUGGUGAUGGCCUCUAUCUUAUGAAUUGUGAUUGUUGAGAAGUGGAAGCCAGAAGGAUUUACAGAUGACAUAGUGAAAAGUAAACAUAUUAGGCGCCAUGUUUCCAGCCAGGCGUGGAAGGGACUCGUAAUCUGCAAUAAUGUAGAAGGCAAAGGAAAUAAGUGUUUUCAUCAGACGAUGGUUCCAGAAAUGGGAAGUGGUCUGCGACUACCAUGGAAUGAACAUCAGCUACAGGGAAGGAGAGAAGGAAGCGGAGGCAGACUUCUUUUGUAAAAACACACGGCAAGGGGUCUUAAGUAUUUAUGCACAAACAUUUCCAUGCUCCUGUCAUUCAGAAAUGGAAGCCUUUGGAAGACCUCUCAACCAUUCAUCCAGCAGAGCAAACCUUCAGCCCCAGUGUUUUCUAAUGGACACUGGACAGCGGGCAAGGAAUAUUGUGCUAUUCAUAGCAAAAAAGGACAUCGAGGAAAAUGCAGAGUUACUCUUUGAUUACAUAGUCAGGAAGAAGUUGUUCCAAGGAGAAGGACUAGACCUGGGCUGACCAUUGAAAGAAAUCAUGUUUUUGCCUGUGAAAUGCUUAUAAAGGUUGAAGUUAACCUUUUUCAUUUUAAGAGUGUAUUUUUAUAAUUUACUACUGGAGAUCAACCAAGUAACCAUGCAGGGAGCAGCUGAAGUUUGUGCAAGCUGCUAUUCCCAACCAUUGUUCUGAACUCCUCUCCCCACAGCCUGACUGCAUUUUUGUUAGCACAAUCUGUGGCUAAAAAUAAAAUAAGAGCUCUCAUUUGAACUGUACGCUGUUUACAGAACUUGCCUAUACACUGCUGUUCAUUCCUGGGAACAUGACAGGAAUCUGACCGGGCUGGUGCACCUGUCACACCAUAACACAGAUGUCCUAAGAUGAAAUCAGGGCCUCAUGAUCCUUCUGGCUUUUUGGGUAUCAAGCAGGUGUUAGAAAGUUACCACAGCCCGUAGGAACAAAAACCAGGUUUAGAGAUCUCUCAUAUUUCUGUUCUACUUUACCUAGACAAAAAUAAGACAAUAUUGGCUCCUGUCUUUCAAUUUUUUCUCAUGAGCAACAGUCUUUUUUGUUCCCAGAUAAGACUCUGUGUGAUUUAUAAAAUAGAUCUUUUCACAAUCUAAAAAUAUGCUCAGUAUCAGCUUCAAGUGUACAUCUCAAUUGUGGCCAUGUCUGAGAUCUCCAUCGAAGCUCUAGUUUUUCUUAUAAUAUACUCAUAAACACUAGGGUUGAUUUUGACCUAUUUUGCACCUUAACAGUACAUGAUUAGAAUUUUUUAGCUGUUAAAGAUUAGUCACAAAAUUUCACCAAUGUAAUGCAUUAAGUGUAUCCUACUUUUUUUUCUGUACUUUGAUAUUUUGGCAAACAUGACUCCUUCUAUGCAAACAGCUGCACACAGUUUCUCCCUUUCUAACCCCACCAUAAAAUAUCACACUGAACAUUAUGAUUUGUUUUGAAUUAAGAUUGAUUAAAAGCAUUUCAUCAAUCUUUCUAGAAAUUUAUAGUUUAAAGAGAACAAUAAAGUAUGUACUCAAGUUUAAUUGCAGGUAUUUAUUCCUUUUUUGGAUACCAUUCUGUUAUAAGUUUGAUAUUCCUCGCUCUCUAUCAGGUACAGAUAAAUAAUGAUCAGAUAAAUCAUCACAUUCUUUCAGUCCAACUGUUUCUCCUAACCCUUCUUCCAACAUUCCAAAACUACACAAUAAGACACCUCAAAAAAAAAAAAAAAUCUUUUUAGACUAUGUAAAUAAACAUGCAUGCAUGUACACCCACAUACAAACAGCUUUCUUAGUAGCUUACAUUGUAAAGUUGUUCUUAUCUCUUUUAUUUACGUUUUAUGCUCUUCACCAUAGCAUCAGAUAUUGUGCACAAAACAAUGAGGAAAUUUUCCCCUCUCCCUUUUUCCCUUUCCAGUGUAACUCUUCUCCCUACCUUCCACUCAAUAACAUACAUCUUUGGACAUUUCUGUGCCUAGUUCAAUCUCUCUCCAGCAGGUUGGAGAAAUGAGCAACAAAUACAAUACCAGGCAUUCCAAGCAGCUCUAUAAAUCCUACCUUCCCCAAAAUGGUUUCAAGAGGGACACAUACAUUUCUUACAGGCAAUUUCAGUACCAUUGUAAUGUGAAAAGAUCCAUUAGCUGCUCCUGUGUUCGGCAAAAGAAGACAUCCCUGUAUCUAUGAAUUCAUUUCAGCUCAUUUUGAAACUCUGAGAGUUUGUAGCUACAGAAAAAGCCAAUUUGACCAUACUUUAUCUUGUUUUCUCUACUAUAGACAACAGUAAAAUCAUUCCUUUUUUGCUUUAAUAUACUGCUUUAAGGUAAAGAUAGUCUUGCAUGUGUAAAGUUGUGUUAUCACUUAAGCAUUAAAUUAAAGAAUUAAAUGUUCAUUAUAUUAGAAUAGGAUCAGGAAUAUACCUACAUUUUGAUUUCCAAUGUUGAUUUCCCUGUUUAGUUGUAAUGUGUUAGAAAGCAGUGCUUAUAAAAUUAAGCAUUCAAGAUCUGGGAGGAUAUGUAAUAGGAAGUAAGUCUGUUAUUGUUUUGUUAACCUUGUGUCAGCAGCUGCAGAGAAAUACAGCGUUUUUUUGUUUUUUUAACAGAAAUCUGCCUCCAUCUAUUUCUUUUUGUUCCCAAAAAGGAUUCCAUCCAUCUUAGAAGAGAAACCUUGUUACACGUUUGAUCUCUGAAGAAUACAUGCAUACUGCUUAGUUUAUGCCCAAUAAAUUCCUGUAAGACAGGUAGAUCAUUUGACUGUAAGUAAAGUUGUUUAGGAGGACCCAGAAACACAAAAUAUGAGGCAGUGCUACAUGUGUGACUAGUAUUACAUUCACUGAUCAAAUGUUCAUUUGCU